rnacentral:rRNA from 1 species
UACGUAGGCAGCGAGCGUUGUUCGGAGUUACUGGGCGUAAAGGGUGUGUAGGCGGUCUUUUAAGUUUGGUGUGAAAUCUCCCGGCUUAACCGGGAGGGUGCGCCGAAUACUGAGGGACUAGAGUGCGGGAGAGGAAAGUGGAAUUCCUGGUGUAGCGGUGAAAUGCGUAGAUAUCAGGAGGAACACCGGUGGUGUAGACGGCUUUCUGGACCGUAACUGA